rnacentral:lncRNA from 1 species
CCAAACGCUCGGGCCCAAACUUUGCCAUCAAUCUUCCCAGUUUUUCACCCUAGCCCAUGCAUGCCUCAACCCUCCUGGCUGACCCGACCCAUCCCCAAAUAUACACACGCGAAUACACAGACUCACAGAGCCCUAAUCUCUAAAGACCCAAACGGUGGAGAACACUAUUCUUCUUCUCCGAAGCCUAAAUUCGUCCCCAAACUCGCCUAAAGUUAGGCGAGUGAAUCCAAACUCACAACCACGCGUUCCCUACUUCUCUCCUCUUGCCAUUUCUAACGGUUUCGCAUACCAAAGUUUCCCCCCUCACUCGCCCGAUUUUGAACCAUAUCACGCGAUUGGAAGGUUCUGGAGGACGAUUCGUUGGAUGGGUAUGAGGCGUUGGAUCGAUUUCACUCAAUCCAAGCUCCACAUUCAUCAGGGGUUCGUUUUCAAAAAGGGCCGAUUCCGAUUUUGUAAGGGAGAGAAUUUUCGGGGUAAAAAAUAAUCGGAGAGGAAAAAGAGUUUGGAGGAUUUUUCAGCUUCUAAUUUCUCUUCUCUAAUUUUUUUUUCUUUAAAAAAUUUCAAAGAAGCAUAUACAUUUAUUAAUUUCUCAAUACGGCUUUGAGUUCCAAAGAGGUGAAAAAUGAAUUGAGGUUCGAGUUCGUCGACUUUGAUUUUCUACUGUUGUCCCGCUGAUUUGCUAUUGAUACUCGCUAGGAUUUUGAGAUCGAAAGGUGUAUUUGCUGAUUCUGUAAUUAUUAUAAAGGAAAUUUGCAACUUCAAGUUCGAUUCUUUUUUCUCCUAUGCGACUCUGUUUUUUUUAAGUGUUCUUAAGUUGUGAGAUUCUGUCUAGAAUGAUUUGUUUUGUGCUGUGAUCGAAUUUCUUGCUGAAUGAAUCUCUUCUCAGUGGUGUGAUGUGCUUGAGCAUUUUCAGUCAAUAAGAGCCGAUUUGAGUAGUCGUCUUCCAUUCCCUGUAUGUUGUGACUGUUAUUCGGGCUCGAAAUAUAUUUUGAGUUAAGAUUUCAUCGCUUUAAAAUGAAAGAUGUGUUCAGUUUCUUUUUGUGAUUUUCGAGCGAGCAUGAAUCUAUGACGCUUAUUCGCGAGAUGUUUUUUUUUCUUGGAUUCUAAAUGAUUUGUUCUUGAGAAAUCUUCCUCAUCUACUAUAAGCUUUAAACUGGAAUCACCCUAUUGCUUGAAUAGUUGGUUUGUUAAGUGUUAUUGGUCAGAAUUUUUGGUUAUGUUGUUAAGGAAUAAUCACUUCACAAUUGAACUUUUCUUGUGUUUUUCCUGCUGUGUGCAACUUGUUCUGAUGUUCAUGGUGAUUUGCUCGAGCCCACUAUUUGGUUUCGAUAUGUUCGGCAUGAAUCACUGAAUAGUUUCCCUUUUUCUCUGAUUCUAUGAUCAUUUUUGCAUGUUUUGCUGAUUUGAAGUUGCUGAAAUUGUCCUUGAUAAUAUUGGCUCUUUCUUUGUGACUCACCAUGUUUGAGAGAAUCAGGGAGUGUUCAUGUUUCUGGCAUGCCUAUUCUGUCAAGUGAACUUCCUGAACAGGAUUCAAUAUGAAGCUUAUUCUGUAGUAGCAUGAUUUUGUUUCUUUCAAAAUUAGUUGGUAUCUGCUAGUCGAGCUGUGUGCCUUUGUGCUUUAUUUUCCUAGCAAGUCCUUGUUUGUUUGGCUGAUUCCAGGCUUAAAGUAUGGUUUUAGGGUAACAAUAAGUAAUUUGAUCAUCUAAUGUUGAAAGAGGAUCCCAUGUAAGUUCCGAUGCAUCAGUGAGUUAGUCCCAUAUAGAAUUUGAACUUAAUAGGUCUCACCAAUAAACUGAGGGCUGGUUUGGAAAGGGACUUGCUAAGUUCAGCAUUUGGAUUUGUUAAGUUCAGUGUGAGUUUACUCAAUUUACAGUCAUGCAAUUAAGAGUUGGAAUAUAUGCCCUAUUGAAAAUUGUUUCUUUUUUCUGGUUAUCUACAUCUCCAUUGUUUCACAACUGGUUUUGUAUGUGGGAGCUUUUUGACAAUACUUUUGAUUUGAAUGGCUCCACUUCCAAGAGGGUUUCAGGCAUUCUAUAAGAAUAAGACAAUCUACGUUUACCUAUACUUGCUGGAGUUUCAUCGCCAAUUGGAUAAAAGAUCGAACAUUUUCUUUCUUUUUUGUGUUUCUUUGAGUGUAUUUUACUUGCUUUAGCAUUUGAAGUUGCAGCUUUUAUUUGUUAAAAACUCAUUCUUUCUGUCCAUUUUGGGUAAAGCAUAUUGAAUUAUUGCUAUUGAGUAGUUAACUUAGCUUUAUUUCCUCCCAUUCUUGGCCAGUUUGAGUGUUGGAUUUGGGAAAGAUUUGAGUCUGCUGUUAAGAGUUGGAAUAUAUGCCUGUUUGUUCGUUUCUUGUUCUUUGAGUUUAAUCACUCAUGUUGCUGCGUUUCCAUAGUUCGGUAUAUUCUAAAUUGUUCGUUCCUUACAUUAUUGGAUUGAACAUGUAGUUGCUGGGGUUUGAAAGUUUCAAAAGAGAAGAACGAAGUGUUUGACAUAAGUCAUGGGGUACUGGUUACUAAUUGAAAGUAAAUUGGGUUUAAUAUAUUUUUUGUUGCAUUACUUUAAGCACGUAAUUGAACAUCACAACUAUAGGUACGGUUCCCAUGGCGUAGUUGCGAUGAUUAAUUUUAUAUUAGCUCCAAAUAUGAAUAUCCUAGUUCAUUCAGUUGAAUAGUUUUGAGGUGUGUCAUUAAACAUUUGAAUCAUAUAAUCUAUGGCCCUCAUAUUUUAUAACUUAGUUACUAAAAUAAAUCUCGUAGUUUGCUUUAGGCGCGCAAUUAAGUUAUUACAACUAUGGGUACGGUUCCUGUGACGUGGUUGUGAUACUUAGUUUUUUUAAAUAUAAGUAGGAGUAUUAAAGUUUGCCUUAGCUAAAUACAAUUCUUUUCCUAAAAUAAUUUGAGGUGUGCCAUACAAAAAUAAAAUUCUUAACAUAUGGCCCUCAACAAUUUAGUUUAGAAAAUGUUUCGAACUUUCGUAGUUGCUUCAGGCGCAUUAAUUAAUACAUUUUCAUAGCUACGGGUACGGUUCCCGUGACGUAGUUGUGAUGCCUAAUUUCUAAAAUCAGGGGGUACAUUUAUGUGACCCAGCCACAAUUUAAUCUUGUUAAUAAAAUAAACAUGUUGUAGAUCGUGGGUACGGCUCCCGUGACAUGAUUCGCAUUAUGUAACACUAAUUUAUUAAAAGCGGUUUAAAAAGAAUAAAAUGUACAUAGGUUUCAAAGAUGUUUUAAAAUCAAAUAAAAAGGCCAAUAAUAACAGUUGAGCGACCGUGCUAAAACCACGGAACCUGGGAAUGCCUAACACCUUCUUCCGGGUUAACAUAAUUCCUUACCCGUAUAUAUGUGUUCGCGAACUGUAAAACAGUGUCAACCUUUCCUCGGUUCGGGAUCUAAACCGGUGACUUGGGUCACCAUAAAUUAUCCCAAGUGGCGACUCUGAAUUUUAAAUAAAUAAUCCCAUUUUGAUUGUCACUUAAAUUGAAAAAAACUUCCUUAUACUCUUUUCGGGGGUAGGAAAAAGGAGGUGUGACAGCUCUGGCGACUCUGCUGGGGACAAGAACCCAGAACAUCUAGUUCAGGGUUCAAGAAUUCAAGCUUAGAAUAAUUGUUAUAUUUGGCUUUUAUUUAUUAUCUGGUUUUAAUUACAUGUUUGAGCCUAAUGUGCUAAAUGUUGCUUUUUACCGCUUUGAUAUUAUCUGAACUGUAUAUAAACCGCUAUGAAACCCUUCUCUUCUCAUCUUUAGGGAUGUACACGCUGGCGUGACUCCUCUUCUGUUAGUGUCAUACCUUAAAUUAGGAAGAGGCUCAGACAAGUUACAAAGCCGGAUGGCCUUUUGGUUCCCGGUACGUAGCCCCCCUUGGCUCGAGUUGUCUGCUCGGGUGCACAAGUCUAGAACAACAUACCCAGGUUUUGAACUUAGAAUAACUCAGCCUCAUGCCGGAUCCCUUGUAGGAAUGCUUGUUUGCAUCAUAUGCAUUUGACUUUGGGGACUCAACAUAGGGGUUGGGUCCAUCUAGGACAGGCGUACCCAAAAAUAAAAGACCAACAUGAUGCAUGUUUAUGUGCUACCUGUGCAUUUAAUCUGUUUCGGACUGCAUGUUGACCGACUUCUAGAUUAAGUGAGAAAGACCAAAAUUUAUUAGAGAAAAAAAGAAAGAGAGACCAAGUGCGAAGAAUGAGAGAAAAUUUCAUUCGUUGCCCAAAAUCCGGCAUCCAAAACAUCCCAAAACUCUGCCAAAAAGUUUUGAAAAAAAAGAAGAAAAACAGUAGAAAAAUCAUUUAAAUGUUUUAUUUUUUGCAGUUGUGUCAAAAUUGGCCGAACUACGCAGGUUUGAUUCUCAUCGGAUGUGGGAUACGUAGGCAAGCCUCAUCGGGUCCAGCCCCGCUUUUUUUUUGAAAAAUUUUGAAAAAAUAUAUGAGGCGUCGUCAUUCUGUCGUAAAUAAAAUGGGUCAUGCCGUUCUUGUCUAAGUAGCCGAAUGUCCGGAUGGGACGCCGGAAGGCUAUUUUUGCAAGAAUAGCCGCUGACUGUAUUUUGUCAAAUUUUGGCCACUUAGCGAGCACAACCCUAAAAACUUCCAUUUCAAAGUGUUGAAGGGCCUUAUUCGCAAAAGCAGCCCUAAUUUCUUAAAUUUUUGCAAAAAUAACCCCUUUUGUCAGUUUUUCAAAUGAGAUUCACUUUGUGUGUAAACCAAUCACCCUAACCUAAAUGUGCAGAAUGAGCACGGGUCAAAACUUGCUAAUGAAGGUCAUGACCAGGAUUCCUUUGGAACUGUACAUGUGGUGGGAAGAUUUGGGAAAAUCAGGAUGAGAUGUGGUCAACUAGUACUUGGGGGGUCUCACCGGGUUAUUGAAAAUCAGGCCUAGAGGAGACUUAAUAAAAGCAUUGGUUACAUUUUGGGAUCCAGCAGACAACAUGUUUCAUUUCUCGGACUUUGAACUCACACCCACUUUAGAAGAGAUAACCGGUUAUGUUGGGAGUACCGAUGCUUUGAGACAUAAAUAUCUGGUUGCCCCGAGAGCCGCAUCCCUCACAAGUUCCUUGAUUUGCUAAAAAUAAGCAGGGGGGUCAAAUAUGCAGAUUUGGCGGUUGGAUUUUCUACUCCACAGUUCAUAUAUCAACGGUACAGACACAUAGGGGGAUUUGAAAACUCGGAGAGCAAAAUUUGCAGCAAAGGGAAUCGACAAAAAUGGGAAGAGCAUAGAUGCUUCGCCUUCAUGGUGAUAUUUUUGGGUCUUUUAGUGUUUCCCAGGAAGGACAAAAAUAUCGAUGUACGGGUAACCGGGGUCGUCAACACUUUGCUUACUCAGGCCAAAAGCACCCUCGCACCCAUGAUAGUGUCUGAAAUAUUUCGAGCUCUCACAGCCUGCAAAGCCGGAGCAGACUUUUUCGAAGGAUGUAACUUGUUGCUACAAAUGUGGAUGACUGAGCAUCUAUGUCAUCGUCCCCAGUACAUGAACCAUGAGUCAACGGGAAAAAGCUGCAUAGAGGAGUUUUAUACAAGGGUCGACGAGUUCAAUAUGACAAAAAGGGUCGCAGAAUGGAUAGUGUGCCUCCGCUAUAUCACUGUCGAUCAAAUAGAAUGGAAGUUGGGUUGGCUUCAUGCUGAUGAAAUCAUAUACAUGCCGGCCACCAGUCCUCACUUCCUCCUGAUAGGUCUCAGAAGUAUACAGCCUUAUGCUCCGUACCAGGUUUUAAGAUAGCUGGGGAGAUGUCAAAUAGUUCCAAAGGAUGAAGACCUUAGCACUCAGGUAGUCGAGAUCGGUUCUAAUGGUCAAUUUCAUGAAGCGGCAGUUUUCCAGAUCUGGAGUGAGUGCUAGUACUUGACAGCAAACACCCAAGUGCGUGAUCUAUCUAAGGGUGAAGUCUUGCCCGGUUACCUCGCAUGGUAAAAAAGAAGUGUUGAGUUUGGAAGACCAGCCAAAAGACCCCAUCUUCAAGAAUUUGUCAAUGCGUCACAGGAAUAAUGGGAUUGGUUGGCCAAAGAAAAUGAGUAUAGGGACACCAUAAGCAAGCUGGAAAAGCAAGUUAGAGAUCUUCAAUUUGAGAAUGGUUUGCAAGCCGCUGCAGAUGAGGGUGAAAAGAAAAAUCUAGCCAAAGAAAAUGAUACCCUCCGAGCCCAAAUUUAGGAAAUAAAAAUAGCAGCCAAAAAACCCCGCUAGAAGUGUAAGAGAUGAAAAGCUUAUAAGUAACCUUAGGCAGAAAGUGGGUGAAUAUGGUUUUGAUCUGAACAAGGCCGAAGGCGAACUGGCAAGAGCUCAAACAAAAUUGGCUAAAAAUGCGGAGGAAUGAGCACGCUUGGUCAAACAGUUAAAAGAGAAAUAUGACAACAGAAUCGUGGGGUUGAAGAAAAAGAUCACCGUCCUUGAGAACGAAAUGACUAAGAAGGCAAGAGAUUUCAAAGCAGAAAGAGAACACUGUUAUGCGCUGAUGACACGGCUAGUGAAAGACCUGCAGCAGCUCCAAGAGCAAAAUCACACAGCUGAACAAGUUUUGGACGCUAGAUCUCAACAAAUUGGACUGUUGCUUCAAGUGAAGGGCAUUAUCACAGGAAGAGUUAGGAGAAUCGCAGACUACAUUGUGAUGAAGUGCGACGAGUGUGAGGACAUGACCCAAUCCAUGUUCUUUGCCUCAAUUAUGAUUUUUGUCCGGCAGGUCAUGGAUGAUUUGUUCCGUCUUCAAGAAGACAUGGCGCAAAGGCCCGCAACAAGGCCAACUGGAGCAGCGGUGGAAGCACUCAUGUAUUCUUGACUUUGUUUAUUCGAAUCUGUUUGUUAGUUUAUUUUCGAGUAUGUAUUGUCAGUUUGUUCAUUUUGAGUCUGUAUUUUCAGUUUUCUUUUGAAGUUUGUUGGUCCACUCAUCGAGUCUGUCAGUUUUUUUUAUCUGUAGGUAAAAUCGUCGUAACCAGGGUGUUUAUUUACUUUUAUUUUAUGAAAAAUUGGAAACCCAAUAAAUGUAUCUUUCUUUUAUUUUUCACUUAUCCCUAGAACUACACUUGGUCUGAUUCAUACGGCGUCAUGAUACGUAGGCAAUCCCCAUAGGAUUCGAUCAUAACCGUGAAAUGAAAAAAAAGAAAGAGAAAAAAAAGGAGAGAAAACAAGAGAAUUUAGGUGCAUUGCAUCCCCAACGUGCGGUUGCCUAUCUGUUAAGCCCUAAUCGCUAACAAGUUUGUUGUUGUCAUCAAGUAACAGGUAGGUGGUUAGUUUGUUUGGCAUUCUGGCAACUCACCCGUACAACACCAGGUCCAAAAACAAGUUGAUCAUGGCUAACCAAGAACUGGAUGCAAGUGUUAUUGAUCCGUCAAGAGAGGGGGAAAAGUAUGAUGUUAAUCUGAAAGAGGAGUUGUAUAAUCUAAAACAACAGAUGGCAGAGAUGUACCGGCAUGGGUAAAAGGGCAUCCACCACCAUCCUACCCCACCAACCCUGCUUUCGUCCCGCUGUUGGCUCAAUCCCAGGAACCUCCCACUGUUGAUUCAUCUCCAGGAUUUCCCAUUUACCACCACUACCAAGGCACCACCUCCCAAACACCACAAGCUCCACCACCCAAACCAGUUCCAUACCCUCCUCCACCAGCCACCCCUAUUUUCGUGGCACCCCCACCCGCUACACUCCACCGACCUUCUAGUGAGCCUUUAUUCCAGAUCCAAAAUAACUAAUACUAUCCCCCUGAGCCUACUUUCAAGGCCCCAGAACCUUACUCCUACACUCCUCGUUUCGACCUCCCUGUUGAGACUGAGAAACCACCUAAAAAUCCAGAACAGGAGGAGAUAUUCAGGAAGGUUAAAAGCCUAGAAUAGUCAUUCAGAAACAUGCAGGGGUUGGGAGGCCAGGUGAGCGUGGCCUACAAAGAUUUGUGUCUUUUUCCCGAUGUUCAACUGCCAGUGGGAUUCAAGAUGCCCAAAUUCAAUCUAUAUGACGGGCACAGAGACCCGGUGGCCCAUUUGAGGGGAUUCUGCAGUAAAAUGAGAGGAGCCGGAGGGAAAGAGGAGCUAUUGAUGGCAUACUUUAGCCUGAGUCUGAGCGGCGCGGCGUUAGAGUGGUACACUCGUCAGGAUUAUAGCAGAUGGUGUACAUGGGAUGAUUUGGCCCAAGCAUUCGCUUGUCAUUUCCAAUACAACCUCGAGAUUGUUCCAGAUAGACUAAGAUUGAGAAGAAGCCUAGUGAAAGUUUCAGAGAGUACGAUUUUUGGUAGAGAGAACAAGCGGCAAGAGUUGACCCUCCUAUGAAAGAGAGUGAGAUGGUGGAUUAUUUUUUGCAGGCUCUGGAGCCCACUUACUUCGGCUAUCUGGUAUCGGCCAUAGGCAAGUCCUUCAACGAGGUAGUGAAGAUGGGUGGCAUGGUGGAAGAAGGGCUUAAAUCAAACAAAAUCCUGAGUUACUCGGCUAUUAAGGCAACUACCCAAGCUAUUCAAAACGGUACUGGGGAGUGAUCAGAAAGAAGAAGAAAGAAGAUGUGGCAACAAUUGAUUCAGGAUCAUGGUUUGGACCCACGGGCCCGUCACAUCAUUAUACUCAGCCUCGACCCCACCACCAAGCCCACACCCAAACCCCGUAUAAUCCACCCCAACAUUACUUCCCAUCACCAGACCCUCAUAUUUCUAUCCACCACACACAGACAUAUACUCAACCGCCUGCUUACGCACAAUGGCGUGCCCCAGCCCCACAAAACACUUACGCAGCUCCACAAAAUGCUUACCCACCCCCACGAACCUAUCGAAACCCUGCCGGCCCAAGUUUCCGAUCUUAUCCAGCAUUUAAAAAUGAGAGGAUGCAGCGAAAGAAAACCUUUACCCCGUUGGGGGAGUCUUAUACCAGUUUGUUCCACAGAUUGAGGCAAUUGGAUAUGCUGAGACCAAUUGAGUCGAAAUUGCCAAACCCUUAUCCAAAGAAUCUUGAUUACUUUGUAAGCUGUGAAUAUUGUUCUGGUACUCUAGGGCAUGAUACGAAUAAGUGCUGGCACUUGAAAAAUGCCAUCCAAGAGCUCAUUAACACCAACCGAAUUGAAGUCCAAACUCCAGAGGCACCUAACAUCAACCAGAACCCAUUGCCAACCCAUCAGGAAACAAAUAUGAUAGAGAUAGUACAUAAGGGAGGGGAGCCCAAGAAGCCUUCACAGACCGUCAUGAUGAUUCGGUCCAGUGAGGUCAAGCCAGUCAAAAACCCACGAUUAAAGGAUCAGUGAACAAGUUGAGCGGGACAAAUGGUGAACCAUCUACGGUCGUCAAGAAAGGAUCCCCAAGUGAUGUUAUAGCAAAACAAGAAAAGUCAAAAGUGGUUGUGCUAGGAGUGGCAAACAAGCCUAUCAUAAUUGUAGAGGGUGCUCGUACGAAUCCUAUCAUCAUCAAGCCUGUAACCCAGUUGCCGAUAGUCAACAGCAAGGCUAUCCCAUGGAACUAUAAACGGGUGAUAGUGACUUACAAGGGAAAGAAAGUGAGAGAAGAAGUCAAUGAGACCUACGGAUUAACUCGUUCGGGGAGAUGCUUUGCUCCGGAAGAGUUAAGGAAAGCUAAAACAUCCAGAGAUAACCCAGUUUUAGUGAAGAAAGCAGUGACUGAAGAAGAGGCGGAGGAGUUUCUGAGAAAAAUGAAGGUACAAAAUUAUUCCAUCGUAGAGCAGUUAAGAAAGACGCCUGCUCAGAUUUCACUGUUGUCAUUGUUAAUCAACUCAUACGAGCACGUCGGGCCUUGAUGAAAAUUCUGAACGAGGCUCAUGUUCCCCACAAAAUUUUAAUGAACCAUCUGGAAAAGAUCGCCACCAAAAUAUUUGAGGUGAACAGGGUCACUUUCUCUGAUGAUGAAUUGUCGGUGGAAGGUACUGAACACCAUAGAGCUCUUUAUCUUACGGUAAAAUAUGAAGAUUCUGUGGUUACCAGGGUAUUAGUUAACAAUGGUUCUAGUGCAAACAUCUGCCCUCUCUCUACCCUGAACAAAUUGAAAGUGGAUGAUAAGAGGAUUCACAAGAACAUCAUCUACGUUCGGGGUUUUGAUGGUGGAGGGAAAGAUUCAGUUGGUGAUAUAGUGAUUGAAUUGACAAUAAGACCGGUGGAAUUCACCAUGGAGUUCCAGGUGCUGGACGUGGCCGUCUCCUACAAUUUGCUAUUAGGUCGCCCUUGGAUUCAUGCCGCUAAAGUAGUCCCGUCCACUCUGUACCAGAUGGUCAAGUUCGAAUGGGAUAGGCAGAAGAUCGUCGUGCAUGGCGAAGAUAAUGUGUGCUCACAGUGAUGCCUCUAUCCCGUUCAUUGAGGUUGAAGAUGACAAAGGACCCUGGGUUUAUCAGGUUUUUGAAACAGUGCCACUUGAGAAAGUUCCAGAAGGGAAAUGUGUUCUAACUCUAAAGAUAACCUCCGCAUCAGUCAUGGUGGCCUUUGAAAUGCUGAAAAAUGGCUUCGUGCCCGGUAAAGGUCUGGGUGCAUCUCUAUAGGGUAUCAUACAACCAGUGUCCCUCCCUGAAAACUUGGGUACGUUCGGUAUGGGAUUCAAACCCACAACAACAUAUGUGAAAAGGGCUAGAAAGUUGAAACAGAGGGUGUGGGCACUUCCAAAACCUAUCCCGCAUCUCUCUAGGUCUUUUGUCAAGCCCGGUGUCAGGAAACGCCCAGUGACAACAGUUCCAAGUUUUGUGGUUGACAUUGAUGAAGAGUUAAUUGAAAGGUUCUAGAGGUUGUUCGAUGAUGCGAAUAUGGUGGAAGUUGGAGAAGGUUCUAGCAAAGCAGAUGUGCAGUUUGUCAGGCCGAAUGCAAAACUUAACAAUUAGAAGGCUACUCCUCUCCCUACCCGGAAGGAGUUUUGGUAGUUUGCUUUUAUUUUCUUUUAGUUUAUCUGGAUUAUUCCAGGGUUGUAAUUCAAAUUUUAUUUUCCGUCCAUUUGGAUGUACAAACCCUGUUAUCUUUUAUUUUCAAUGAAAUGCAAUUUUCCUUUUCCAUCAUUUCUGAUAGUUUUAUUUUUGUUUUUCUUUUCUUCCCUGUACAGUUCUUUUUAUGCUAGUUUCAAUGACAUGACAUGCAUGAAGAAUCUUCGGCCCAGUCUUAAAAGUCAAUCUAAUUCUGAAAUAAUAAUUCAAGAAAUAGAGUGUGAUGGUGAAUCAGAAUAUGAUGAGGAUGAGGCCUUUAGAGAGAUUAGUAAGGAAUUAAAUCAUUUUGAAGAAAAACCCAAGCCUAACCUGAAUGAUAUAGAAGCAAUCAAUUUAGAGGACCCAGAUAAUGUCAGAGAAACUAAGAUAAAUGUCCAUCUUGAACCGCAAAUCAGGGAAGAGAUAAUUAAAGAACUGUUUGAAUAUAAAGAUAUUUUUGCAUGGUCAUAUGAUGACAUGCCAGUCUAAGCAUUGACUUGGUGGUUCACAAAUUGCCCACUGACCCGACAUUCCCUCCCAUCAAGCAGUAGUUGAGAAAGUUCAAAACUGACAUGAGUGUGAAGAUUAAGGAAGAAAUCACCAAGCAGUUGGACGCAAAGGUCAUUCGGGUCACACGAUAUCCCACUUGGUUAGCUAAUGUUGUGCCAGUGCCAAAGAAGGAUGGCAAGACCAGAGUGUGUGUUGAUUAUCGCGAUCUCAACAAAGCAAGUCCAAAGGAUAAUUUUCCAUUGCCAAAUAUCCACAUUCUGAUUGACAAUUGUGCUAAACAUGAGAUCGGUUCUUUUGUGGAUUGCUAUGUUGGAUACCACCAGAUUUUGAUAGAUAAGGAAGAUGCAGAAAAGACAACAUUUAUCACACCAUGAGGGACUUAUUGCUACCGGGUAAUACCAUUCGGUUUGAAAAACGCUGGGACAACUUACAUGAGGGCAAUGACUAUGGUGUUCCAUGACAUAAUACACAAGGAGAUUGAGGUUUAUGUGGAUGAUGUGAUCGUAAAGUCAAAGCAAUAGGCCGACCACAUUGGAGAUUUGAGGAAAUUUUUCUAGAGGCUUCGCAGAUACAAUCUUAAGCUUAACCCCGCCAAGUGCGCAUUUGGCGUUCCAUCCGAAAAAAUUUUGGGAUUCAUAGUGAGUUGUUGAGGCAUCGAGUUGGACCCAUCAAAGAUCAAAGCUAUCCAAGAAUUGCCACCUCCAAGGAACAAGACUGAGGUGAUGAGUCUGUUAGGGAGGCUGAACUACAUCAGCAGGUUUAUUGCUCAGCUCACGACAACUUGUGAGCCUAUCUUUAAGUUGCUAAAGAAGGAUGCUGUGGUCAAGUGGACUGAUGAGUGUCAAGAAGCACUUGAUAAGAUAAAAGGGUACUUGUCAAACCUACCUGUGCUGGUCCCACCGGAACCAGAGAGACCUUUGAUUCUUUACUUGACAGUCUUAGAUAAUUCAUUUGGUUGUGUGUUGGGUCAGCAUGACAUCACUAGCAGAAAAGAGCAAGCCAUAUACUAUCUCAUCAAGAAGUUCACAUCCUAUGAGGUCAAUUACACUCACUUGNNNNNNNNNNNNNNNNNNNNNNNNNNNNNNNNNNNNNNNNNNNNNNNNNNNNNNNNNNNNNNNNNNNNNNNNNNNNNNNNNNNNNNNNNNNNNNNNNNNNNNNNNNNNNNNNNNNNNNNNNNNNNNNNNNNNNNNNNNNNNNNNNNNNNNNNNNNNNNNNNNNNNNNNNNNNNNNNNNNNNNNNNNNNNNNNNNNNNNNNNNNNNNNNNNNNNNNNNNNNNNNNNNNNNNNNNNNNNNNNNNNNNNNNNNNNNNNNNNNNNNNNNNNNNNNNNNNNNNNNNNNAGCAUUCGGCCGAUCAUUUGGCCGAGAACCCGGUCGAUGAAGAGUAUGAACCAUUGAGAACUUAUUUUCUUGAUGAAGAGGUGAUGCACAUUGACGAGUUGGAACAGGUUGAGAAGCCAGGUUGGAAACAUUUCUUUGAUGGGGCUGCUAACAUGAAAGGCAUUGGGAAAGGAGCUGUAGGUAUUUCUGAAGCAGGGCGUCACUACCUUGUUAUGGCUCAACUUCGUUUUUACUGUACCAACAAUAUGGCUGAGUACGAGGCAUGCAUUUUGGGUUUGAGGUUAGCUGUAGACACGGGUGUCCAGGAAGUCUUAGUCUUGGGAGACUUGGACCUUCUAGUGCACUAGAUUCAAGGAGAAUGGGAAAUACGAGAUUUAAAGCUCAUACCGUACCGACAAUGUUUGCAUGAUCUUUGUCAAUAGUUUCGAUCAGUAGAGUUCAGGCAUAUUCCUAGGAUCCAUAAUGAGGUUUCCGAUGCUUUGGCUACCUUGGCAUUAAUGUUGCACCAUCCGGACAAAGCUUAUGUCGACCCUCUACAUAUUCAAGUUCGCGAUUGGCAUGCUUACUGCAAUAUGAUUGAAAAGGAACUUGAUGGUGAACCAUGGUUCCAUGAUAUCAAGGAGUAUAUUAGGAUGGGGGUAUAUCCGGUACGGGCCACGAGGGAUCAAAAAAGAACAAUUCGACGGUUGGUAAGUGGAUUUUUCUUUAAUGGAGGAGUUUUGUACAAAAGAACUCUAGAUCUCGGGUUGUUAAGAUGAAUAGAUGCUAGACAAGCCACGACUUUCAUGACCGAACUACAUUCUGGAGAACAAAGGGAGAGAAAUUCAAGUGUUGGUAAUCAGGAGCCUACCUGGAGAACGAAGAGAAGCAGCAAGGUUCAAAGGAAGACAACAAUCAGGAGCCCACCUGAAGAAUAAAGGGAAGUAGCAAGGUUCAAAGGAGUUCAGCAAUCAGGAGCCCACCUGAAGAACAAAGGGAGGCAGUUCGUGUUUUGAGGAAAAGUAGCACAAGUGUUGGUAAUCAGGAGCCCACCUAGAGAACGAAGGGAAGCAGCAAGGUUCAAAGGAAGACAACAAUCAGGAGCCCACCUGAAGAACAAAGGGAAGCAGCAAUGUUCAAAGGAAGUUCGGCAAUCAGGAGUCCACCUGGAGAACAAAGGGAGAACAAGGCAAGUUUCAGAGGAAAGGAAGAUAAUUCAAAUGUUGGAAAUCAGGAGCCCACCUGGAGAACAAAGGGAAGGCAACAACGGUCAAAGGAAGACGGUUCAAGUUCAGCAAUCAGGCACCCACCUGGAGAAAAGGGAAAGCACCUCAAAAUACAAUCCAAGACAACAACAAAGGAAUCUCACCUGGAGAGUACAAGUCAACAGAGCAGCAAAAACUGCAAGAUCAAGUUUGAAGAAGUAUAGAUAGGAUUCUUGUAAUUUAUAGAUUAUAGUUUAGUCUAGCUUCUUGUAUUUUGUUUUGGUGUAAUAAGGAGUUCAGCAAGCAGUAACAGCAGCAACAACAAUGAAAUCACGACUUCCUGAUAUUCCCAGCUACCGAAACUUCCCAUACUACACUGACCUGAUUCCUUUAUAGCCAAGGAUAUGCAGGCAACCGCGGAAGUAGGGUAAGGUGAAAUCUUUCAAAAAAUGCUUCCCACAGAGUAUUCAAACGGGCAAAAAUCGCUCAUAUCCGCUCACUUUAUCUUUGCACGAAAACUCUUCGUGUUUCUGAGCAAAGAAGGGCAGCUGUGAGCACGUGAUUUUUUGCCUAUAAGAAUUACUCAGAUAAAACAUAAGAAAAUAAUUUUUCCAAUUUUAUAGCAUUUUCGUAGAAUUUUGUUAAUUAGCUGCAUCUUUGUGAAUAUUUAGUUUCCAUUAAAAAACAAAAAUACCAAAAAUACCAUGCAUUUGCAUUUAGGAUUUAUUUUUACAUUUUUAGGUUAAUUAGUAAAUUAGUUGUUUUAUAAAAAUAAAAAAUCACAAAAAUGGCUCAUUUUUGCAUUUUUGCCUUUUAAUAUUAAAUUGGUAAUUUCUUCUUUUAAUUUAGGAGUAAUUAACUUUCAUAAAUAUCUUAGUAGGUAAUUAACUUAAUUUUACAGCUUGGUUUAAUUUAAGAGUCUAAUUUAGUUUUUUCAAUUAAAAAGGGAAAAGAAAAACAAAUAAAGGGUAAAAGAAAAAGAGAAUAGGGCUGUAAUUUUGGACCCAAACGCUAGGGCCCAAUCUUUUCCACCAAUCCGCCUAGUUUUUCACCCUAGCCCACGCCCCAACCCGCCUGGCUGACCCGACCCAUCCCCAAAUAUACACACGCGAAUACACAGACUCACAUAACCUUAAUCUCUAAAGCCCAAACGGUGGAGAACACUGUUCUUCUUCUUCAAAGCCUAAAUUCGUCCCCAAACUCGCCUAAAGUCAGGCGAGUGAAUCCAAACUCAUAACCACGCGUUCCCUCCUUCUCUUCUCUUGCCAUUUCUAAUGAUUUCGGACACCAAAGAUUCCCCCCCCCCUCACUCGCCCGAUUUUGAACCAUAUCACACGAUUUUUUUUAAAGUGUUCUUAAGCUGUGAGAUUCUGUCUAGAAUGGUUUGUUUUGUGCUGUGAUCGAAUUUCUUGCUGAAUGAAUCUCUUCUCAGUGGUGUGAUGUGCUUGAGAAUUUUCAGUCAAUAAGAGCCAAUUUGAGUAGUCGUUUUCCAUUCCCUGUAUGUUGUGACUGUUAUUCGGGCUUGAAAUAUAUUUUGAAUUAAGCUUUCAUCGCUUUCAAAUGAACGAUGUGUUCAGUUUCUUUUUGUGAUUUUCGAGCGAGCAUGAAUCUAUGACGCUUAUUCGAGAGAUGUUUUUUUCCUUGGAUUCUAAAUGAUUUGUUCUUGCGAAAUCUUCCUUAUCUACUAGAAGCUUUAAACUGGAAUCACCCUAUUGCAUGGACAUUUUGUUUGUUAAGUGUUGUUGGUCAGAAUUUUCGGUUAUGUUGUUAAGAAAUAAUCACUUCACAAUUGAACUUUUCUUGUGUUUUUCCUGCUGUGUGCAACAUGUUCUGAUGUUCAUGGUUAUUUGCUCGAGCCCACUGUUUGGUCUCGAUAUGCUCGACAUGAAUCACUGAAUAGUUUCCCUUUUUCCCUGAUUCCAUGACCUUUUUCGCAUGUUCUGCUGAUUUGAAGUUGCUGAAGUUGUCCUUGAUAAUAUUCGCUCUUUCUUUGUGGCUCACCAUGUUUGAGAGAAUUAGGGAGUGUUCAUGUUUCCAUCAUGCCUAUUCUGUCAAGUGAACUUCCUGAACAGGAUUCAAUAUGAAGCUUAUUCUGUAGUAGCAUGAUUUUGUUUCUUUCGAAAUUAGUUGGUAUCUGCUAGUCGAGCUGUGUGCCUUUGUGCUUUAUUUUCCUAGCAAGUCCUUGUUUGUUUGGCUGAUUCCAGGCUUAAAGUGUGGUUGUAGGGUAACAAUAAGUAAUAUGAUCGUCUAAUGUUGAAAGAGGAUCCCAUGUAAGUUCUGAUGCAUCAGUGAGUUAGUCCCAUAUAGAAUUUGAAUUUAAUAGGUCUAACCAACAAACUAAGGGCUGGUUUGAAAAGGAACUUGCUAAGUUCAGUGUUUGGAUUUGUUAAGUUCAGUGUGAGUUUACUCAAUUUACAGUCAUGCUGUUAAGAGUUGGAAUAUAUGCCCUAUUGAAAAUUACUUCUUUUUCCUGGUUAUCUACAUCUCCAUUGUUUCACAACUGGUUCUGUAAGUGGGAGCAUUUUGACAAUACUUUUGAUUUGAAUGGCUCCACUUCCAAGAGGGUUUCAGGCAUUCUAUAAGAAUAAGACAAUCUGGGUUUACCUAUACUUGCUGGAGUUUCAUCGCCAAUUGGAUAAAAGAUCGAACAUUUUCUUUCUUUUUUCUGUUUCUUUGAGUUUUUUUUACUUGCUUUAGCAUUUGAAGUUUGCAGCUUUUAUUUGUUAAAAACUCAUUCUUUCUGUCCAUUUUGGGUAAAGCAUAUGGAAUUAUAGCUACUGAGAGGUUAAGUUAGCUUUAUUUCCUCCCAUUCUUGGCUAGUUUGAGUGUUGGAUUUGGGAAAGAUUUGAGUCUGCUGUUAAGAGUUGGAAUAUAUGCCUGUUUGUUCAUUUCUUGUUCUUUGAGUUUAAUCACUCAUGUUGCUGCGUUUCCAUAGUUUGGUAUCUGCUUAAUUAUUCGUUCCUUACAUUAUUGGAUUGAACAUGUAGUUGCUGGGGUUUGAAAGUUUCAAAAGAGAAGAAUGAAGUGUUUGACAUAAGUCAUGGGGUGCUGGUUACUAAUUGAAAGUAAAUUGGGUUUAACAUGUUUUGUUGCCU